ACCCUUAGCUCUUCUCUCUCCUCCAGAGAGGAGGCAGUGGUCUCCUCAUUUGAAGGCUAAGCCCCCGACCUGGCCUCCAGGCAGCCCUCUGCACUCCAGGGAGAGCCUCUUCCUGUGGAGGUGCCGACAGGACUGCAUGUGAGCCCAGAAGCACACGUGGUCACCUUGCCACCUGAAGGGGAACGCGCCUGCGUGCUGACAGCUGAGCUGGGAGAUGCAGAGAGCGAGUUCUGACCACCUCCCACCAAGUGCCGCCCUGCUUGAAUCUGACUCACUCGUGGACUCUCCCUUAGACUAGGACACCACCAUGGAGGGGCCAGUUGCACUGGGUCUGCAGCCUGUGACUUUCCUGCACACCACACCACCUCUUAGCUGAGCAGCCCUCUGCUUCCAUGCAGAAGCUGGAGGCCCCAGGUCUGCUGGCCCCGGAGAAGCUGGCUGCUGUCCCUUGGGAACGAGUCAUGAGCGGGGAAACAGCAGUCCUGUUGGACUCUAAUCCACGAGGCCAGGAUCGGCUGCCUUCGGUUUCCAUAAAGUUGCCAGUGGGAUGACUACUUCUCUUCCAUAUUCUACGAUGACUGUCAUUAGAGAAAUACACACGAGUGUGCGCAGAUCCACACCCGCUCGGCCUGUUUGCUCUUCCUCCAAAUCAGGGUCUCGGUUCACCACUACGAUGAGAUCCUCUCUCAUCUUCCAUGGCUGCCAUCAUCUCUCAUCUGGACCCCGCAAGCACCUCCUGCCUCUGUCCUGGCCUCCCAGCUUCCCAUCCACGCACCAUUCUCCCCAAUUCACAAAUCCUCCAGAAAUACCUUGUAGUAUCAUCCAUCACAUCUGCUUACAUAUCCUGAUGCACAGACUACACCCCAGGAUGACUGCCUGAGAGUCUUGGAGCAGGGUCCAAGCUUUGGUGUGUUCUGAGGCUCCCCGGGUGAUGCCAGUGGAAGUGCUCGAGGUUGUGGUGCAACAGAGGUGGACAAAACCCACACAUUUCCUAUGGCAGGUGGAAUAAUGUCCCUCCCAAAGAUAUCCAGGUCCCAAUCCCUGGAACCUGGGAAUGUUACUCUCGCAUAUGUAAAAAAGAAUUUUGCAGACGUGAUUAAGCUAAGGCCCAUCCUCAUAUAUCUGGAUAAAACUGUAAUUCAAAAUAGAACUACCAUUUGAUCCA